rnacentral:rRNA from 1 species
AUGCAAGGCCUCACAGCAUCUUCCAAGCUGUCACUGGCCGUCGUGUUCGCAGUGUUUCUGCUGGGCUCGGCGGGCGCCGCCCAUGGCCUGACGAGGGUCGUCUCCAGCAGCUCUGAUGAGCCCUGCAACGAGAUGACGCUCUAUUACCACGACAUCCUCUACAACGGCGUCAACAACACGCGAAACGCGACGUCGGCCGCGGCCACCAAGCCCACGGCGCUGAGCACAACCCACUAA